rnacentral:misc_RNA from 1 species
AAGUCGUAACAAGGUUUCCGUAGGUGAACCUGCGGAAGGAUCAUUACUAUUACUUCAACGGGUGGGUUUCAGCUGUUCCUUGGUUCAGCUGCCUCCUACUUGCUUGUCGUUACCCAUGCCUUUUGCGUACAAUUUGUUUUCCCAGCCGGGCAUAUUGCCCCUAUGGGAUAUCAAUUCACCCAUGUAUUUGCAGUCAAUGUCUGAAAAAUAAUAAUAAUUACAACUUUUAACAACGGAUCUCUUGGUUCUG